rnacentral:rRNA from 1 species
UGGGGAAUAUUGCACAAUGGGCGAAAGCCUGAUGCAGCAACGCCGCGUGAGUGAUGAAGGCCUUCGGGUUGUAAAGCUCUGUCUUCUGGGACGAUAAUGACGGUACCAGAGGAGGAAGCCACGGCUAGCUACGUGCCAGCAGCCGCGGUAAUACGUAGGUGGCAAGCGUUGUCCGGAUUUACUGGGCGUAAAGGAUGCGUAGGCGGAUACUUAAGUCAGAUGUGAAAAUCCCGGGCUUAACUUGGGAACUGCAUUUGAAACUGGGUAUCUAGAGUGCGGGAGAGGAAAGUGGAAUUCCUAGUGUAGCGGUGAAAUGCGUAGAGAUUAGGAAGAACACCAGUGGCGAAGGCGACUUUCUGGACCGUAACUGACGCUGAGGCAUGAAAGCGUGGGGAGCAAACA